AGAGUUUGAUCCUGGCUCAGAACGAACGCUGGCGGCGUGCCUAACACAUGCAAGUCGAACGUGAAAGUCCUUCGGGAUGAGUAAAGUGGCGCACGGGUGAGUAAUGCGUAGAUAAUCUGCCUGAUGAUCUGGGAUAACAUCUCGAAAGGGGUGCUAAUACCGGAUAAGCCCACGGGCUCUUCGGAGCUUGCGGGAAAANGGGGGGGACCUUCGGGCCUUCUGUCAUCAGAUGAGUCUACGUACCAUUAGCUAGUUGGUAGGGUAAAGGCCUACCAAGGCGACGAUGGUUAGCUGGUCUGAGAGGAUGAUCAGCCACACUGGGACUGAGACACGGUCCAGACUCCUACGGGAGGCAGCAGUGGGGAAUUUUGCGCAAUGGGGGAAACCCUGACGCAGCAACGCCGCGUGAGUGAUGAAGGCCUUCGGGUCGUAAAGCUCUGUCAGAGGGAAAGAAAUGUGGGGCGCUAAUACCGUUACCACUUGACGGUACCCUCAAAGGAAGCACCGGCUAACUCCGUGCCAGCAGCCGCGGUAAUACGGAGGGUGCGAGCGUUGUUCGGAAUUAUUGGGCGUAAAGCGCGUGUAGGCGGUUUUAUAAGUCUGAUGUGAAAGCCCCGGGCUCAACCUGGGAAGUGCAUUGGAUACUGUAAGACUUGAGUACGGGAGAGGGCAGUGGAAUUCCUAGUGUAGGAGUGAAAUCCGUAGAUAUUAGGAGGAACACCGGUGGCGAAGGCGGCUGCCUGGACCGAUACUGACGCUGAGACGCGAAAGCGUGGGUAGCAAACAGGAUUAGAUACCCUGGUAGUCCACGCCGUAAACGAUGAGUACUAGGUGUUGCGGGUAUUGACCCCUGCAGUGCCGCAGCUAACGCAUUAAGUACUCCGCCUGGGAAGUACGGUCGCAAGACUAAAACUCAAAUGAAUUGACGG
rnacentral:rRNA from 1 species